GCCUCCCUCUGUCGGCGUGCUUAACACAUGCAAGUCGAACGGAAAGGCCCUGCUUUUGUGGGGUGCUCGAGUGGCGAACGGGUGAGUAACACGUGAGUAACCUGCCCUUGACUUUGGGAUAACUUCAGGAAACUGGGGCUAAUACCGGAUAGGAGCUCCUGCUGCAUGGUGGGGGUUGGAAAGUUUCGGCGGUUGGGGAUGGACUCGCGGCUUAUCAGCUUGUUGGUGGGGUAGUGGCUUACCAAGGCUUUGACGGGUAGCCGGCCUGAGAGGGUGACCGGCCACAUUGGGACUGAGAUACGGCCCAGACUCCUACGGGAGGCAGCAGUGGGGAAUAUUGCACAAUGGGCGGAAGCCUGAUGCAGCAACGCCGCGUGCGGGAUGACGGCCUUCGGGUUGUAAACCGCUUUCGCCUGUGACGAAGCGUGAGUGACGGUAAUGGGUAAAGAAGCACCGGCUAACUACGUG
rnacentral:rRNA from 1 species